GACAGAGGGGGCAAGCGUUGCUCGGAAUUACUGGGCGUAAAGCGCACGUAGGCGGAUUCGUAAGUCAGGGGUGAAAUCCCGGGGCUCAACCUCGGAACUGCCUUUGAUACUGCGGGUCUUGAGUCCGAUAGAGGUGGGUGGAAUUCCUAGUGUAGAGGUGAAAUUCGUAGAUAUUAGGAAGAACACCGGUGGCGAAGGCGGCCCACUGGAUCGGUACUGACGCUGAGGUGCGAAAGCGUGGGGAGCAAACAGG
rnacentral:rRNA from 1 species